rfam:Bombyx mori DNA, contig: Bm_scaf101_contig36184, strain: p50T/Dazao, build 2, whole genome shotgun sequence.
ACAACGUUCGGACCGUCGGUCUACCGAGCAAUAUCAUCCGCUCGGUGGAAGAUCUUCCCUUUGUCGU